rnacentral:rRNA from 1 species
GAUGAACGCUAGCGGCAGGCCUAAUACAUGCAAGUCGAACGAGAUUAUUUCGGUCUUCGGACUGGGAUAUGACAGUGGCGCACGGGUGCGUAACGCGUAUGCAAUCUACCUUCAUCAGGGGGAUAGCCUCUCGAAAGAGAGAUUAAUACCGCAUAACAUCACGAGAUGGCAUCAUUUUGUGAUCAAACAUUUAUGGGAUGAAGAUGAGCAUGCGUGACAUUAGCUAGUUGGUGAGGUAACGGCUCACCAA